rnacentral:rRNA from 1 species
UACGAAGGGGGCUAGCGUUGCUCGGAAUCACUGGGCGUAAAGGGUGCGUAGGCGGGUCUUUAAGUCAGGGGUGAAAUCCUGGAGCUCAACUCCAGAACUGCCUUUGAUACUGAGGAUCUUGAGUUCGGGAGAGGUGAGUGGAACUGCGAGUGUAGAGGUGAAAUUCGUAGAUAUUCGCAAGAACACCAGUGGCGAAGGCGGGUCUCUGGGCCGAUACUGACGCUGAGGAGCGAAAGCGUGGGGAGCAAACAGGG